rnacentral:rRNA from 1 species
UUGGGAAUAUUGCACAAUGGGCGCAAGCCUGAUGCAGCCAUGCCGCGUGUAUGAAGAAGGCCUUCGGGUUGUAAAGUACUUUCAGUCGGGAGGAAGGUGGUAAGGUUAAUAACCUUAUCAAUUGACGUUACCGACAGAAGAAGCACCGGCUAACUCCGUGCCAGCAGCCGCGGUAAUACGGAGGGUGCAAGCGUUAAUCGGAAUUACUGGGCGUAAAGCGCACGCAGGCGGUUGAUUGAGUCAGAUGUGAAAUCCCCGGGCUUAACCCGGGAAUUGCAUCUGAUACUGGUCAGCUAGAGUCUUGUAGAGGGGGGUAGAAUUCCAUGUGUAGCGGUGAAAUGCGUAGAGAUGUGGAGGAAUACCGGUGGCGAAGGCGGCCCCCUGGACAAAGACUGACGCUCAGGUGCGAAAGCGUGGGGAGCAAACAGG